AGCAAUGCUAUCUGUACUUGUGGAAGCAGGAGACAACUGUAAGGAGAAGAAACCUCAUUGGCUCUUUAAUUUGCUCUUGCAGGGAAAAUAUAGAGAACGCAGGAAAACACCCAGAUUGAGAUUUGGCUGCCCAAGCUGCAAAUACUUAGGAAACCAAACAACUGGCCUGACCUCAAGCACAACCCAAAUUCUCGAACCUCAUAUAAAGUGUGAACCUAAGAUACUUAAGAGAAGCCACUAAUUUCUGGUUCAGAGUGAAAAUAAGGGCACCUACAAAACAGGGAGAGUGAGGAGUUGGGAUCUUUUCUGUUGUGUCUCAGAACUUCAGGGUUAAGACCCUUCCUGGGUGAUGGAUAAAGGAAGUCAUUGUCCAGAUGAAAGACUCAUGAACUUGGAGACAGGAAUGAAGCCAUUGAAGCAACUUGGACGUCGGGAAUUCACUGAAGACCAGACUAAAGAGGGGCUUGUUCUAAUAGAAAUUCAUC